ACCAGACUCCUACGGGAGGCAGCAGUGAGGAAUAUUGGUCAAUGGGCGCGAGCCUGAACCAGCCAAGUCGCGUGAGGGAAGACGGUCCUAUGGAUUGUAAACCUCUUUUGUCGGGGAGCAAAGAGAGUCACGUGUGACUCAUUGAGAGUACCCGAAGAAAAAGCAUCGGCUAACUCCGUGCCAGCAGCCGCGGUAAUACGGAGGAUGCGAGCGUUAUCCGGAUUUAUUGGGUUUAAAGGGAGCGUAGGUGGAUUGUUAAGUCAGUUGUGAAAGUUUGCGGCUCAACCGUAAAAUUGCAGUUGAAACUGGCAGUCUUGAGUACAGUAGAGGUGGGCGGAAUUCGUGGUGUAGCGGUGAAAUGCUUAGAUAUCACGAAGAACUCCGAUUGCGAAGGCAGCUCACUGGACUGCAACUGACACUGAGGCUCGAAAGUGUGGGUAUCAAACAGGAUUAGAUACCCUUGUA
rnacentral:rRNA from 1 species